CAGUGUUCGAUUAGGCCAUGCGAGUUAAUGUUCUUCGUGAACAUAGCAGACUGCUCAGUAACACGUGGAUAACCUGCCCUUAGGACUGGCAUAACCCCGGGAAACUGGGGAUAAUUCCGGAUAGAUCAUAAAUGCUGGAAUGCUUUAUGAUUGAAAGGUUUCGACCGCCUUAGGAUGGAUCUGCGGCCUAUCAGGUUGUAGUGGGUGUAAUGUACCUACUAGCCUACGACGGGUACGGGUUGUGGAAGCAAGAGCCCGGAGAUGGAUUCUGAGACAUGAAUCCAGGCCCUACGGGGCGCAGCAGGCGCGAAAACUUUACAAUGCGGGAAACCGUGAUAAGGGAACACUGAGUGCUAGCAUUUAUGUUAGCUGUCCACAUGUGUAAAUAGCAUGUGAUAGCAAGGGCUGGGCAAGACCGGUGCCAGCCGCCGCGGUAACACCGGCAGCCCGAGUGGUGAUCACUAUUAUUGGGUCUAAAGGGUCCGUAGCCGGUUUGAUCAGUCUUCUGGGAAAUCUAAUCGCUUAACUAUUAGGCUUCCAGGGGAUACUGUUAGACUUGGGACCGGGAGAGGUAAGAGGUACUGCAGGGGUAGGAGUGAAAUCUUGUAAUCCCUGUGAGACCACCAGUGGCGAAGGCGUCUUACCAGAACGGGUCCGACGGUGAGGGACGAAAGCUGGGGGCACGAACCGGAUUAGAUACCCGGGUAGUCCCAGCUGUAAACGAUGCUCGUUAA
rnacentral:rRNA from 1 species